rnacentral:snRNA from 1 species
AUCACUUCUCGGCCUUUUGGCUAAGAUCAAGUGUAGUAUCUGUUCUUAUCAGUUUAAUAUCUAAUAUGUCCUCGGAUAGACAAUAUAUUAAAUGGAUUUUUGGAGCUUGGAGUUGGAAUAGGAGCUUGCUCCGUCCACUCCACACAUCAACCUGGUAUUUCAGUACUUCCAGGAAUGGUACACCCCCU